GUGCAUGAGGAAAAUCUCGUGGUAGGCCCCACUGCGAGGUAGGCAGUGAUCGUGCAUGGCGUAAGUGUGGGCCAGGAUCUCGUCCAUGGUUUCACGACU
rnacentral:ribozyme from 8 species